rnacentral:RNase_P_RNA from 1 species
CGAGCCCGCCGGGUGACCGCGGCGCCCCCGUGGCGUCGAGGAAAGUCCGGACUCCGAAGGGCAGGGUGCUGGCUAACGGCCAGGCGGAGCGAUCCGACGGAAAGUGCAACAGAGAGCAAACCGCCGAUGGUGCCUCGGCACACAGGCAAGGGUGAAACGGUGAGGUAAGAGCUCACCAGCGUCCCGGGUGACCGGGCGGCUCGGCAAACCCCACCCGGAGCAAGGCCAGACAGGGACGCCGGUGGCCCGCCGACCAAGUCCCGGGUAGGCCGCACCGAGGCCUGCGGUGACGCAGGCCCCAGAUGGAUGGUCACCGCCCGCAAGGGCACAGAAUCCGGCUUACAGGCGGACUCGCACU